UCGAGAAUCUUUCGCAAUGGGCGCAAGCCUGACGAAGCGACGCCGUGUGUGUGAUGAAGGCCUUCGGGUUGUAAAGCACUUUCGCCUGUGAACAAGAAAUGUCGGCUAACAUCCGGCGAAUUUGAGGGUAGCAGGUAAAGAAGCACCGGCUAACUACGUGCCAGCAGCUGCGGUAAUACGUAGGGUGCAAGCAUUAAUCGGAUUUAUUGGGCGUAAAGGACGCGUAGGCGGAUUAUUAAGUCAGAUGUGAAAGCCCGGAGCUCAACUCCGGAACAGCAUUUGAAACUGGUAAUCUCGAGGGUAGGCGGAGAAAACGGAAUUCCACAUGUAGCGGUGAAAUGCGUAGAUAUGUGGAAGAACACCAGUGGCGAAGGCGGUUUUCUAGCUUAUACCUGACGCUGAUGCGUGAAAGCAAGGGGAGCAAACAG
rnacentral:rRNA from 1 species